GCCGCAUGGCACAGCAGGGAAAACCACGGUGGUACAGGAUGGGCCCGCGUCUGAUUAGUUAGUUGGCAGGGUAACGGCCUACCAAGACAACGAUCAGUAGCCGGCUUGAGAGAGUGGACGGCCACAUUGGGACUGAGACACGGCCCAGACUCCUGCGGGAGGCAGCAGUGGGGAAUAUUGCACAAUGGGGGGAACCCUGAUGCGGCAAUGCCGCGUGGGUGAAGAAGCACUCCGGUGCGUAAAGCCCUGUCAGCAGGGAAGAAAAUGACAGUACCUGGACAAGAAGCCCCGGCUAACUACGUGCCAGCAGCCGCGGUAAUACGUAGGGGGCAAGCGUUAUCCGGAUUUACUGGGUGUAAAGGGAGCGCAGGCGGCGUGGCAAGUCAGAUGUGAAAACCCGGGGCCCAACCCCGGGAGUGCAUUUGAAACUGCCAUGCUGGAGUGCCGAAGAGGUAAGCGGAAUUCCUAGUGUAGCGGUGAAAUGCGUAGAUAUUAGGAGGAACACCAGUGGCGGAGGCGGCUUACUGGACGGUAACUGACGCUGAGGCUCGAAAGCGUGGGGAGCAAACAGGAUUAGAUACCCUGGUAGUCCACGCCGUAAACGAU
rnacentral:rRNA from 1 species